GGGAGUUUGGGAGUGGUAUGAUUCUCGCUUCGGGUGCGAGAGGCCGCGAGUUCGAUUCUCGUAACUCCCC
rnacentral:tRNA from 1 species